rnacentral:rRNA from 1 species
AUUGAACGCUGGCGGCAUGCUUUACACAUGCAAGUCGAACGGUAACAGGCCUUCGGGUGCUGACGAGUGGCGCACGGGUGAGUAAUGCAUCGGAACGUGCCCAGAGGUGGGGAUAACGCAGCGAAAGCUGUGCUAAUACCGCAUGUGAUCUGAGGAUGAAAGCGGGGGACCAGGCAGCAAUGUUUGGCCUCGCGCCUUUGGAGCGGCCGAUGUCAGAUUAGGUAGUUGGUGGGGUAAAGGCCUACCAAGCCGACGAUCUGUAGCUGGUCUGAGAGGACGACCAGCCACACUGGGACUGAGACACGGCCCAGACUCCUACGGGAGGCAGCAGUGGGGAAUUUUGGACAAUGGGCGCAAGCCUGAUCCAGCAAUGCCGCGUGCGGGAAGAAGGCCUUCGGGUUGUAAACCGCUUUUGUACGGAACGAAAAGGCUCUGGCUAAUACCUGGGGCUGAUGACGGUACCGUAAGAAUAAGCACCGGCUAACUACGUG